rnacentral:rRNA from 1 species
UACGAAGGGGGCUAGCGUUGCUCGGAAUUACUGGGCGUAAAGGGAGCGUAGGCGGACAUUUAAGUCAGGGGUGAAAUCCCAGAGCUCAACUCUGGAACUGCCUUUGAUACUGGGUGUCUUGAGUGUGAUAGAGGUAUGUGGAACUCCGAGUGUAGAGGUGAAAUUCGUAGAUAUUCGGAAGAACACCAGUGGCGAAGGCGACACACUGGCCCAUUACUGACGCUGAGGCGCGAAAGCGUGGGGAGCAAACAGG